rnacentral:rRNA from 1 species
GAUGAACGCUGGCGGCGUGCCUAACACAUGCAAGUCGAACGGACUUUUCAUGAAGCCUAGCGAUUGAAAAGUUAGUGGCGGACGGGUGAGUAACGCGUGGGUAACCUGCCUUGUACUGGGGGACAACAGUUGGAAACGACUGCUAAUACCGCAUAAGCGCACAGCUUCGCAUGAAGCAGUGUGAAAAACUCCGGUGGUACAAGAUGGACCCGCGUCUGAUUAGCUUGUUGGUGAGGUAACGGCCCACCAAGGCGACGAUCAGUAGCCGGCCUGAGAGGGUGAACGGUCACAUUGGGACUGAGACACGGCCCAAACUCCUACGGGAGGCAGCAGUGGGGAAUAUUGCACAAUGGGGGAAACCCUGAUGCAGCGACGCCGCGUGAGUGAUGAAGUAUUUCGGUAUGUAAAACUCUAUCAGCAGGGAAGAUAAUGACGGUACCUGACUAAGAAGCACCGGCUAAAUACGUG